rnacentral:rRNA from 1 species
UACGGGGGGGGGCAAGCGUUGUUCGGAAUUACUGGGCGUAAAGGGCGCGUAGGCGGUCAGAUAAGUCAGCUGUGAAAACCUCGGGCUUAACCCGAGGCCUGCAGUUGAAACUGUUUGGCUGGAGUGUGGGAGAGGAGAGUGGAAUUCCCGGUGUAGCGGUGAAAUGCGCAGAUAUCAGGAGGAACACCGGUGGCGAAGGCGGGUCUCUGGGCCGAUACUGACGCUGAGGAGCGAAAGCGUGGGGAGCGAACAGG